rnacentral:rRNA from 1 species
GACGGAGGGUGCUAGCGUUGUUCGGAAUUACUGGGCGUAAAGGGCGCGUAGGCGGCCUGGUCAGUCGGAUGUGAAAGCCCGGGGCUCAACCCCGGAACGGCAUCCGAGACGGCCAGGCUGGAGACCGGGAGAGGAGAGUGGAAUAGCCAGUGUAGAGGUGAAAUUCGUAGAUAUUGGCUGGAACACCGGUGGCGAAAGCGGCUCUCUGGCCCGGUUCUGACACUGAGGCGCGAAAGCGUGGGGAGCAAACAGG